UACGGAGGGGGCUAGCGUUGUUCGGAAUUACUGGGCGUAAAGCGCACGUAGGCGGCUUUGUAAGUUAGAGGUGAAAGCCCGGGGCUCAACUCCGGAAUUGCCUUUAAGACUGCAUCGCUAGAAUUGUGGAGAGGUAAGUGGAAUUCCGAGUGUAGAGGUGAAAUUCGUAGAUAUUAGGGAAGAACACCGGUGGCGAAGGCG
rnacentral:rRNA from 1 species